rnacentral:piRNA from 1 species
UGUUCAUUCCUGGGCAGAGGCCAAAC